rnacentral:rRNA from 1 species
AGCUCCAAUAGCGUAUAUUAAGGUUGCUGCAGUUAAAAAGCUCGUAGUUGGAUUUGUGGCGCGGCCGUCCGGCGGGGGUCCUUCUAUGGUCUCGUUUGUCCUGGUUUUCGGCCGCUCCUUUCUCGGGUAGAGCGUAAUGGCUGGCAUUAGGUUGUCGGCCGCUUCGCGCCCGUCGUUUACUGUGAAAAAAUUAGAGUGUUCAAAGCAGGCUUAGGCCGUUGGAUACAUUAGCAUGGAAUAAUGAGAUAGGGCCACGGCGGUCUAUUUUGUUGGUUUGCACGUUGUGGUAAUGAUUAACAGGAACGGUUGGGGGUAUUCGUAUUCAAUUGUCAGAGGUGAAAUUCUUGGAUUUGUGGAAGACGAACUACUGCGAAAGCAUUUACCAAGGAUGUUUUCAUUA